rnacentral:tRNA from 1 species
GUGUGGGUAGAUUAAUGGUAAAAUCGUUAAGCUGUUAACUUAAAGAUGAUCGGGUAUCCUCAGACG